AAGCCAGACUCCUACGGGAGGCAGCAGUGGGGGAUAUUGCACAAUGGGGGGAACCCUGAUGCAGCGACGCCGCGUGGGUGAAGGAGCGUUUCGGCGCGUAAAGCCCUAUCGGCAGGGAAGAAGGAGGACGGUACCUGACUAAGAAGCCCCGGCUAACUACGUGCCAGCAGCCGCGGUAAUACGUAGGGGGCAAGCGUUAUCCGGAUUUACUGGGUGUAAAGGGGGCGCAGACGGCAGCGCAAGCCAGGAGUGAAAGCCCGGGGCCCAACCCCGGGACUGCUCUUGGAACUGCGCGGCUGGAGUGCAGGAGGGGCAGGCGGAAUUCCUGGUGUAGCGGUGAAAUGCGUAGAUAUCAGGAGGAACACCGGUGGCGAAGGCGGCCUGCUGGACUGCGACUGACGUUGAGGCCCGAAAGCGUGGGAGCAAACAGGAUUAGAUACCCGCGUA
rnacentral:rRNA from 1 species